UCUGCGUAACGAGCUUAAUCUUACGGUUACGUUGUCAGCCGCCUCCCAUGCGGUUCAGAGUGUGUAGUUAUGUUUGGCUCUUCCGGUUAAGCGGCUUUACCGGCGGACUGCGUGUGUCAGCGAGCCCCUCCUGCCGCCUCAGACCGACAUUUCACCCUACUAUUCCUUCACUCUCCGCCCGGAAAUUCAACAUGCAGCCCAGCCGAAGUGUGGCAAGCAGUUGCGGCGAAGUGGGUUUAGGCAAUUCAGGGCCGGAGAAUUACAGGACCUGCAUUCCCACUGUCACUGCAGAAGAAACCGUUCCUCCAGAUGUGAAGAAGCAAGUGGAGAGCCCGCUUGUUCUAAACCAGAGACACCUAAGGACUCAUAGUCCGCUAUUAGGGGCCAAAUGUGAUGACGACUCGGAGGCCGAGUCUUUCCGGGAUGGGAGAAGCGAAGAGGUCGACCGGGACACCAGGGAGAAGGCCAUAAAUUGGUGCCGAGACUUUCUGUCGGGGUCGUGGAAGACCAUUGAAGAUGCUGAUUUUCAAAUCAGCAUUGUCAGUGGUGGACUGAGUAAUCUGCUGUACCUAUGUAGUUUGCCCGACUAUGUGCAAUGUGUGGAAGAUGAACCUCGCCAGGUGCUCCUCAGGGUUUAUGGUGCCAUCUUACAGGGAGUGGACUCUUUGGUACUGGAGAGUGUGAUGUUUGCCAUUUUGGCUGAACGAGCUUUAGGCCCAAAGCUUUAUGGCGUCUUCCCCCUGGGACGCUUAGAACAGUACCUUCCGAAUACUCGCAUGCGCACAAAUCAGCUUUCGGACCCAGCCAUCUCCGCUGAGAUUGCCACCAAGCUGGCCCGUUUCCACAACAUGGUUAUGCCCUUUAACAAAAAGCCUAAGUGGCUGUUUGGGACCAUUGAUAAAUACAUGGAACAAGUGAUGAAUAUUAGCUUUGUACGUGAUGCACAUGUGAAGAAGUACAAGAAGCUGAUGAAACUGGACCUUCCUGCUGAACUGAGAAGCCUCCGUGCUUUGCUCGCAGCAACUCCCUCGCCAGUGGUGUUUUGCCACAAUGACGUCCAAGAAGGCAACAUCCUCAUGCUAGAAGAUGGAAAGCAUUCCUCAGCGGAAAGACUCAUGCUCAUUGACUUUGAAUACAGCAGUUACAACUACAGGGGUUUUGACUUCGGCAACCAUUUCUGUGAGUGGAUGUAUGACUACACCUACAACGAGUGGCCUUUCUACAAAGCCACACCAGAGAACUAUCCAACCAGAGAGCAGCAGCUUCUUUUUAUUAGAAGUUAUUUGGCAGAACAGCACAAAGACACCAACGUUGCUGUGGACCAGACACAAAUUGAAGAAGAUUUAAUCAUUGAAGCAAACAGAUAUGCAUUAGCAUCACACUUCCUCUGGGGGCUCUGGUCCAUCAUACAAGCUAAGAUAUCCAAGAUUGAGUUUGGAUACAUGGACUACGCCCAGUGUCGUUUUGAUGCCUACUUCAAGCAAAAGAAGCUCUUCAGCUGAGAUCCAACUUGUUAAUCAAAAUGUACUGUCUCAUAUGUCUGUCGUUAUCAUUCUUCAAGCUUGCCCCCUACAUGUUGUUGGAACUAUGCCUGUCUGCUUAAGAUGCACUUCACUUCCUUGGACCAUUAUUAGACACUGGCUGGUUAUCAUGGGACGCAUUUGUGUGAAAGAUCUACCUCACCCUUGUGAUGUUCAUAGGGUGCAUAGCUUUCAUCCUAAAGGGCUGAUUCUGACUAUUCAGUGAGGGAAUAACUGAGACCAUUACCCAUAUGGAAAAGAUAUGUAUAAAUCUUAUAAGGUUUGUAUCUGUCCUGUGUGAAAACAUAACUUUUUUCUUAAACUAUUUAAAAAUAUUCCACUCCAGUUAUUCUUUAACUGUUACAUUACAAACUUGCCUACAUUUAGCAAAUUAUUAUGGGAGGGCUUUUUUUAAAUAAAAAGUUUGCAUAACUUUUCAUCACUGUAGAAAAAACACUGUCAGUUUAACUGUUAGAGCAGUUAGAAAGUGUAAAGCUGUACACAUGAACUGGAGCGGUGACCUGUCAUUCAAAGCAGAAAGUUUACGUGGUGUCCUAUCGCACUGAUGUGGGAAUUGCGCAAGUGGUAGUGGUGUAUGGCAACUCCUGCAUGCUUUAUCCAGACAGCACCCUCUCCUUACUUGCACAAAGCCUUUCCCAUAAUGAGAACACAUCUGAAACAGGCUCUCUUAUGUACUGCAUCAGCAUUUUGCAACUUAAAGCAACAUGCAGAGUUCAUGUAUGAAAAUGGCUUACAGCAUUUAUGUCAGUCUUUGUCCUUGUCACUAAAUACGAUAACUGUUAUUACAGUGCAUUUCUGAUGCACUAACUACCUGCCCAUUUAACUCUGUUUUGUUUCCACUUCUUUUAAAAUUGCUUCUAUAACUGCUGCUUCAAAUAUGUGACAUUCUUACCAAAUAUACCAAUCUUUUAUAAAAUAUUAAAAAAAAUUGGUAUAUUUGUGCACGUUUCACCAAUAAUAAAAACGUGUUACAGUCAAUUACUGUAGCCCAUUUGAAUGUGAAGUGCUUCUUUUUUUUUGACAUGCUUUUAUUUAUUUAGACUUUGUUCUAUAUUUGAAUGAAUGUACACCAAUUUGACACUAAAUAGUUUCCAAAACAAUGCUUUACAUGAAGGGUUUACUCAUUAACUACCUGUGACUGUUUUUGUUUUUAUUUUUGAGGAA